UCCCUGAUGGCUCAGACAGUAAAGUAUCUGCCUGCAAGGCAGGAGACCUGGGUUCAAUCCCUGGGUGGAGAA
rnacentral:tRNA from 1 species